rnacentral:lncRNA from 1 species
CUUCAACUUUCUAAUAACAAAUCGGAUGGUGAAUUCUUUAGAUUCAAUUUGCUCUCUACUGGAUUGCCCUCAAAUCUUAGUCAUCUCACAUAAGUUGUCAUCCAAUACUAGCACGAUGUCCACAAAUAAUCUCACAUAUCCUUCAUUCCAUAUCUUAAUUCCAUAAAUUGGGUUUGGAAGAGCUAGCUGUCAUGCCUUGAACCCAGCACCU